GGAAAGACCCCGUGAACCUUUACUAUAGCUUGACACUGAACAUUGAGCCUUGAUGUGUAGGAUAGGUGGGAGGCUUUGAAGCGUGGACGCCAGUCUGCGUGGAGCCAACCUUGAAAUACCACCCUUUAAUGUUUGAUGUUCUAACGUUGGCCCCUUACCGGGGUUGCGGACAGUGUCUGGUGGGUAGUUUGACUGGGGCGGUCUCCUCCCAAAGCGUAACGGAGGAGCACGAAGGUUAGCUAAUCCUGGUCGGACAUCAGGAGGUUAGUGCAAUGGCAUAAGCUAGCUUGACUGCGAGCGUGACGGCGCGAGCAGGUGCGAAAGCAGGUCAUAGUGAUCCGGUGGUUCUGAAUGGAAGGGCCAUCGCUCAACGGAUAAAAGGUACUCCGGGGAUAACAGGCUGAUACCGCCCAAGAGUUCAUAUCGACGGCGGUGUUUGGCACCUCGAUGUCGGCUCAUCACAUCCUGGGGCUGAAGUAGGUCCCAAGGGUAUGGCUGUUCGCCAUUUAAAGUGGUACGCGAGCUGGGUUUAGAACGUCGUGAGACAGUUCGGUCCCUAUCUGCCGUGGGCGCUGGAGAAUUGAGGGGGGCUGCUCCUAGUACGAGAGGACCGGAGUGGACGCAUCACUGGUGUUCGGGUUGUCAUGCCAAUGGCACUGCCCGGUAGCUAAAUGCGGAAGAGAUAAGUGCUGAAAGCAUCUAAGCACGAAACUUGCCCCGAGAUGAGUUCUCCCUGAGACUU
rnacentral:rRNA from 1 species